UACGUAGGUGACAAGCGUUGUCCGGAUUUACUGGGCGUAAAGAGCGCGCAGGCGGUCGUUCAAGUCGAGUGUGAAAGCCCCCGGCUCAACUGGGGAGGGUCAUUCGAUACUGAUCGACUCGAAGGCAGGAGAGGGUAGUGGAAUUCCCGGUGUAGUGGUGAAAUGCGUAGAUAUCGGGAGGAACACCAGUGGCGAAGGCAGCCCCCUGGGCCAACACUGACGCUCAGGCACGAAAGCGUGGGGAGCAAACAGG
rnacentral:rRNA from 1 species